rnacentral:rRNA from 1 species
AUUGAACGCUGGCGGCAUGCUUUACACAUGCAAGUCGAACGGUAACAGGUCUUCGGAUGCUGACGAGUGGCGAACGGGUGAGUAAUGCAUCGGAACGUGCCCAGUCGUGGGGGAUAACGCAGCGAAAGCUGCGCUAAUACCGCAUACGAUCUAUGGAUGAAAGCGGGGGACCGUAAGGCCUCGCGCGAUUGGAGCGGCCGAUGUCAGAUUAGGUAGUUGGUGGGGUAAAGGCCCACCAAGCCAACGAUCUGUAGCUGGUCUGAGAGGACGACCAGCCACACUGGGACUGAGGCACGGCCCAGACUCCUACGGGAGGCAGCAGUGGGGAAUUUUGGACAAUGGGCGCAAGCCUGAUCCAGCAAUGCCGCGUGCAGGAAGAAGGCCUUCGGGUUGUAAACUGCUUUUGUACGGAACGAAACGGCUCUCUCUAAUACAGAGGGCUAAUGACGGUACCGUAAGAAUAAGCACCGGCUAACUACGUGCCAGCAGCCGCAGUAACAC